rnacentral:misc_RNA from 1 species
CGAGUACAAGGAGGAAGCAGUUUGUUUUCUUGGCUUGCAGUAAGAUGGAAAUGUCAACAAAAUAUCCUCCAAAUUAACAGAUUCUAUCACGAUCUUUGUGAUUUACAACAAAUAUGAGUGUUGAUACGAAUAUUUUAAAAACAUUACAGACUGGAAAUGAACAGGACGUGGUUUCAGUGCUUGAAGCUUUUACGACAAAGAAUGCACAGACCUUCAGUUUUCCUGAGUUGACCUUGGAGGUCAAACAGAAAUGUGUGGAGGCCAUUCUCGACCUGCUUCGUGUGCAGGGUGCAUCCAAGUGCCACAUCCUGUGCCUGGAGACACUGCGCCUGUUCAGCCGAGAGAAGGAGAAAUUGGCGGGCAUGGUCUCUGAGGUGGCCCUAAACCUGAUAAUGAAGAUGGCAGGCCUCCAGCACUACUCCGAGGAGGAGGGAGAAUGUGUCACUAUACAGAACGGUGACCCUGAUGUGAUGGUGGAAGCUCAGAAAUGUCUGUGUAACUUAAUAUUCAACAAUGUCCAAGUACAGAGAGUGUGCAGUAAAAACGGCUGUGUGGAGGGGAUAAUACAGAGACUGAAGACGUACAAGGACCCAGAUCUCAAGUUUGAAAUCAAGUUCUUUGAUAUGAGGAUGCUGUUCCUGUUGACUGCCCUGUGUGCUGAAACAAGACCCCUGAUCCGUUACGAGCUACAUGGCUUUACCUACCUGAUGGAGGUUGUUGAUUUAAUACUUCGGGAUGCAGAUGCCCGACAGUCCGGACUUACGGAACAGGAGGUGGACCUCUGCUGCGAAAUCCUCAAAAUUCUCUUUAACAUCACAGUCCCGAUUGAUAAAAAUGCUUUAGAUGAGGAGGAGGAGGCCCACUUCAUGCGCCUGGUCAGUGUGCUCCGGGAUCUUCUGAUGAGUAAAACACAGAGCAAGGACCGCCAGGAGGAACUACAAAGUCACACAGUAAACCUACUGACGAACAUCCCACGGGACUGUUACGAGGAGCUGCUUAUUCCCCUCAACGAGAUCGAUGUUGGAGGCAUGGAGAAUAAAGAUGUCGAGUUUGAUGGAAAAAAUAUGGAAGCUAUCAUAGUUCUGCUCGACUUCCUGUACAAUAGGAUAGACGUGCCAAUGAAGUCACUGAAGGAAAGUCUAACUCCCAUCCUCCACUGCCUGUGUGAGACAUGUCGGGCUAACAGGGCCAUCCGCAAGUUCUGUCGCUCCAAGGUAUUGCCACCAUUGAAGGAUGAGGUGAAGAAAUUACCAGAAGAUGGGGAUACACUUAGAAACAGACUUUGUAAGCUGCUAACCUCGCCCAUCGCAGACGUUAAAGACCUGGCUGCUGAUUUCCUGUUCGUUUUGUGUAAAGAGAGCGUCAACAGAAUGGUCAAGUACACAGGGUACGGGAACAGUGCUGGCCUCCUAGCCAACAGGGGUCUCCUGCUCGGAGGCAAGUCAGGGGGAGACUACUCCAGUAACUCAGACGACUCAGACACAGAAGAGUAUAGUCAAUUAAGAAACAUGGUGAAUCCUGUGACAGGGAGAUGGGAGGAGGACAAGCCGGAUCCUUUUGAGGGGAUGAGUGAGGAGCAGAAGGAGUUUGAAGCCAUGAAACUAGUCAACAUGAUGCACAAACUCCAGUGCCAAGGGAUCAUACAGCCGAGUCGUGUUGACGAGUCUGGCCAUCCUCAGCCAGUGCAACACGUCCUGGAACUGAUGGAAAACAUGACAAACCCCAGCGGAGCAACCGGGGACCAGGAGGACCUGGACUAGGGGGCGUUUGGAGAGAGUGGCCCAAAAUGGGCUGUUUUAUCACCUGUUCCGUAUAGGACAGAUGUAUGGUAUAUUUCCACAUAUACCUAGGUCUCAAUCUUGCCAAUUUUGGUGCAUGUUGGGUUUAAAGCUCGAGUUUAGAACCUGAUAAAGUAUUUGCGCCGUAAUUCAUGGCAAGCAAAGUAUUGUCUUGAGUUUUAACUACGCAGGUUGGCAAAUUGACAGUGUCUAUAGACGUGUUGCUUAUGAACAAACCUACAAUAGCUGUAGACUUGUGUAAGAAGCAUUAAAUAGUCUACAUUGUGUUGUCUUUAGAUCUGAAAAGCAGCCUAUUGCAUAAGGAUCUGGUAUACUUAUCACUUCACCAACAUCUUGAAUUUGCAAACCAUUUAUAUUAAAAAAAAUAUUUUCUGCUAAACAAAAUUCCUGAAUUAAUAUCGCUUAGCUGUGAUAAAAUAUCAAAGAGGUUAGACAUCUGUUCCUCCAGGUAGGAGGUAGUCUGGUUCUGAAAAUGUUAAACAGUUAAUUGCAAAGAAUUAAUUGGGUUAUAUAUUUCAAUGUUGAAAUAUUGCAAAAAAAAUAAAAGAGUGAGUUAUAUAUUUCAAUGGUUAACAACUAUUGUUGAUGAUCAGCAAAUAGUCAACAGAAACACGUCUGUAAUUUAGAUGCAAUUUUUUUCAUUAAAUUUCCUAAAAAAAAAUCCAACCCCCCCCCCAAAUAAUUCCUAAUAGUAUGACAACAACAUGUAAUUUUUCAAUAUAUACUCAACUGUAUCGUUUUCAUUUUAGUCAUUUUGAUACAUUUUGGGACAAUUCUGCUAAAUUGGAGGGUGCAUAUUUCUAAAGUAAACAACAACAGAAAAUGAAAAUCAAUUUUAUAGUAUCUACAUAUAAAACCGUUUUAUUGUAAAUAUACAAACAACUUUAAAGAUGAUCAAGUCAAGGCCAUAUAAGAAAUGAAGGUCAGAGUGGAUCAAAAGGUCAAGGUAGCAUGUAGUUGAAAAGGUCAAGGCAACAUCUAUGUAUUUUUAUGGAAGGAUGAGAUAAAGUGAGUUUUGAAGUAACCUGAGGAAUACUGCAUGAGAUGGAUGGAAGUAGUAAUGAUUUACACCCCUCAGCCCCACAGUUGCUCUGUUUAUGUCACAGAGGGGCUACCUGUUGCAGGUAUUUGUCACAAAGUAUUUUUGAUAAAGAAGUUUAUGAAACUGACCAUUAAUAUCUUAUGGCCAUUAUAUUUUGAAGAACAGUUUUGAGGUUGAGGGAAAUGUUGACUUCUUGUUCUAUAUAAGGUCAUCUUUCUUCACACAGAGUGUGAUAAGAUGUCAAGAAUUUGUAGAAAAUUUAAUGGUCAAGUCUUCAAAUAUUUUUUUCAAUGUAUGAGAUUAAAUUUCUUCUUACUAAUCAAUAUUCUAGUAAUAUUUGAUACUGUGAAAUUAGACCUCAUGGAAGAGAAUUCAAAGAUAAAUACCUAAACACCGGGUAAACACUCCCAAAAGGAACCUUUCUGGACAAGAAAAAAAGAAUGAAAGUUUUGAUAUUAAGUUCCAAGGUAUAAAAUUGGAAUAAUCAAAUUUGGUCCAUUGACUAUGUAGGUCAAUAAGAUGUCUUAACAACCAAACAGACUAUUUCUGUACUUCUGUAGGUAUCAGUGUUACGGACCGAAGGCCUCUGUAAAGGCCAGGAACCUUACAAGUACAAGGUUUGUUAGCAGGCAAGGAAAAUUAAAGUACAGGGAUAUAGGUUGUGUUUAGGCCAGGAACGGACCAGUACAGGGAUAUAGCUUGUGUGUAGGCCAUCAACAGUACAGUACAGGGGUAUAGCUGGUGUGUAGGCGAGGAACAGAACAGUACAGGGGUAUAGCUUGUGUGUAGGCCAGGAACAGAACAGUACAGGAAUAAAGCUUGUGUGUAGGCCAGGAACAGAACAGUACAGGGAUAUAGCUUGUGUGUAGGCCAGGAACAGAUCAGUACAGGGGUAUAGCUUGUGUGAAGGCCAGGAACAGAACAGUACAGGGGUAUAGCUUGUGUGUAGGCCAGGCACAGAACAGUACAGGGAUAUAGCUUGUGUGUAGGCCAGGCACAGAACAGUACAGAGGUAAAGCUUGUCCGUAGGCCAGGCACAGAACAGUACAGGGGUAUAGCUUGUGUGUAGACCAGGAACAGAACAGUAGAAGGGUAUAGCUUGUGUUUAGGCCAGGAACAGAACAGUACAGGGAUAUAGCUUGUGUUUAGGCCAGGAACAGAAAAGUACAAGGGUAAACCUUGUGUGUAGGCAAUGAACAGAACAGUAUGGGGAUAUAGCUUGUGUGUAGGCCAGACACAGAACAGUACAGCGGUAUAGCUUGUGUUUAGGCCAGGAACAGAACAGUACAGGGGUAUAGCUUGUGUGUAGGCCAGGAACAGAACAGUACAGGGAUAUAGCUUGUGUGUAGGCCAGGAACAGUACAGUACAGGGGUAUAGCUUGUGUGUAGAACAGUACAGAGAGAUGGCUUGUUUAUAUUAACUAAGAAAGGUAUUUUGUAAAAGAACCAUAUUCAUAUGAAGAUAAUCCAAAAAAUAAUUGGCAAUUUCAAGUUCCAAACCCAGUAUUUAUGUAGUUAUUUUAGCUAUUGUUAAUGAAAAUGUUACCCUUCCAAGCCCUUCUCCAAAUAAAACUGGUUAAAAGAUUUGAUUUUUUUUGUUUUCAAUUUAGCUAGUUAUAAAUAUAAUUGUGCAAAAUCCCAUGAAUGUGUAUAUUAUUUGAUAGCUAGAGAUAUCCUUGCUAGCUCAUGUUGCAAUGUGCGGCUUAGUUAUGAUAUUGUAGUCUGGGUGAAAGUCAGUGUGAUGAGGUGUCAGAUAACAGAGGUAUGGAAGAGCAAGAAGGAUGAUGUCAGAUUACACAAGUCCUAUAUAAUUUGUAUAUAGAGUUGAUGUUACUACAAAUAAUCCUACCAAGUCAUUGUCUCGUAACAAACUGUACUAUACUGGUUUGUAAAUAUAGGUCAGCUCAUUUCACUUAACAUUUUGACUACGGACUUGUAUGGUUACUAGUUACUGAUAUUGUUGUAAACUGUUGCUAAGACUGCAGACUGUUGCUAUGACUACAGGCUUGUUUUUAUGACUACACACUGAUGCUAUGACUACACACUGUUGCUAUGACUACAGACUGAUUUUAUGACUACAGACUGUUGCUAUGACUAGACUGUUAAUAUGACUACCGACUGUUAAUAUGACUACAGACUGUUACUAUGACUACAGACUGAUGCUAUGACUAGACUGUUAAUAUGACUACAGACUGAUGCUAUGACUACAGACUGUUGCUAUGACUACAGACUGAUGCUAGGACUACAGACUGUUGCUACGACUAAAGACUGUUGAUAUGACUACAGACUGUUGCUAGGACUACAGACUGUUGCUAGGACUAAAGACUGUUGAUAUGACUACAGACUGUUGCUAGGACUACAGACUGUUGCUAUGACUACAGACUGUUGCUAUGACUAGACUGUUACUAUGACUAGACUAUUACUAUGACUACAGACUGUUGAUAUGACUACAGGCUGUUAAUAUGCCUACCGACUGUUGAUAUGACUACAGGCUGUUGAUAUGACUACAGACUGUUGAUAUGACUACAGACUGUUGAUAUGACUACAGACUGUUGAAAUGACUACAGACUGUUAAUAUGCCUACAGACUGUUGAUAUGACUACAGACUGUUGAUAUGACAACAGACUGUUGAUAGGACUACAGACUGUUGAUAUGACUACCGGCUGUUGAUAUGACUACAGACUGUUGAUAUGAG